UACGUAGGGGGCAAGCGUUGUCCAGAAUCAUUGGGCGUAAAGCGCGUGUAGGCGGUCCGGUAAGUCCGCUGUGAAAGUCGGGGGCUCAACCCUCGGAUGCCGGUGGAUACUGUCGGGCUUGAGUACGGAAGAGGCGAGUGGAAUUCCUGGUGUAGCGGUGAAAUGCGCAGAUAUCAGGAGGAACACCAAUUGCGAAGGCAGCUCGCUGGGACGUUACUGACGCUGAGACGCGAAAGCGUGGGGAGCAAACAGG
rnacentral:rRNA from 1 species